GUAGGUGGCAAGCGUUGUCCGGAAUUAUUGGGCGUAAAGCGCGCGCAGGCGGUCCUUUAAGUCUGAUGUGAAAGCCCACGGCUCAACCGUGGAGGGUCAUUGGAAACUGGGGGACUUGAGUACAGAAGAGGAAAGCGGAAUUCCAAGUGUAGCGGUGAAAUGCGUAGAGAUUUGGAGGAACACCAGUGGCGAAGGCGGCUUUCUGGUCUGUAACUGACGCUGAGGCGCGAAAGCGUGGGGAGCAAACAGGGAUUAGAUACCCUGGUAGUCCACGCCGUAAACGAUGAGUGCUAAGUGUUAGGGGGGUUUCCCGCCCCCUUAGUGCUGCAGCUAACGCAUUAAGCACUCCGCCUGGGGAUACGGCCGCAAGGCUG
rnacentral:rRNA from 1 species